GGAACCCAGGUUAGCAGGUCAUGUCAGUGGAACGGUUUCCGGUCAUGUCAGUGGAACCGGUCAUGUCAGUUGAACCGUUCCGGUCAUGUCAGUUGAACCGUUGUCCGUCAUGUCGGUGGAACCGUUUCCGGUCAUGCAGUGGAACCGGUUCCGGUCAUGUCAGUGGAACCGGUUCGGGUCAUGUCAGGUCAUGUCAGUGGAACCGGUUCCCGGUCAUGUCAGUGGAACCGGUUCCGUCAGUAGUGAACCGUUCGGUCAUGUCUGGAACCGUUCCGUCAUGUCAGUGGAACCGGUUCCGGUCAUGUCAGUGGAACGGUUCAGGUCAUGUCGUCAUGUAGUGGAACGGUCAUGUCGCAGUUGAACGGUCAUGUCAGUGGAACCGGUCAUGUCAGUGGAACCGGUUCCCGGUCCAUGUCAGUGGAACCGGUAUGUCAGUUGAACGGUUUGCGUCAUGUCAGUGGAACCGGU
rnacentral:lncRNA from 1 species